UCUGUGUCUUCUGCUGCCACAUCCUUCUCCUGAGGUGACAUCAAGGACAAUAACCGCAGCCUUCCACAUACCCUUCAGUUUCUCUGCCAAUGACAAUAUGGAGCUUAAUGAGCCAUGGUUCUGAGGAGAUACGACAAUUUUUGUGCUUGUGUGAACAAGCCUGGGCCUGAUGAAAGACUGCAGCUCUUCUAUCUGAGGCCAUCCCAGAUCAACCUAUAGCCAGCCAACUCUCAAACACCUGAGAGAGCCCAGCCAACAUCAGCAGGGCUACCUGUCCAAGCCACAGCUGACCAUGUACGCAUGUGUGAGUCCAGCAAGACCAAAAGAACUACCCCGUUGCCCCAAAGACUGGUAUUGCACCGGUGCUGGAGAGUCAGAGAUGAGUAAAUACAGUCCCUGCACUCAAGAAGCACCUAGUCUACUCGGAGACAGAAACACAAGAGCAGGCAAUGGCUUUAUAGUUUGAUGGCGUGGUCAUACUCAGGAGGGUCAGCAUUCAGUUCCGACUCCAAGACAUCCCAGUAGGCCUGGUGGACGAUGCGC